UGUGAUUACAGAUGUGUCACUAUACUCACC
rnacentral:piRNA from 1 species